rnacentral:rRNA from 1 species
GGCGGCGUGCCUAAUACAUGCAAGUCGAACGCGUCUCCGUUAAUGAUUUUAGGUGCUUGCACUUGAAAGAUUUAACAUUGAGACGAGUGGCGAACUGGUGAGUAACACGUGGGUAACCUGCCCUUGAAGUAGGGGAUAACACUUGGAAACAGGUGCUAAUACCGUAUAACAACCAAAACCACCUGGUUUUGGUUUAAAAGACGGCUUCGGCUGUCACUUUAGGAUGGACCCGCGGCGUAUUAGCUUGUUGGUAAGGUAACGGCUUACCAAGGCGAUGAUACGUAGCCGACCUGAGAGGGUAAUCGGCCACAUUGGGACUGAGACACGGCCCAAACUCCUACGGGAGGCAGCAGUAGGGAAUCUUCCACAAUGGACGAAAGUCUGAUGGAGCAACGCCGCGUGAGUGAUGAAGGGUUUCGGCUCGUAAAACUCUGUUGUUGGAGAAGAACAGGUGUCAGAGUAACUGUUGACAUCUUGACGGUAUCCAACCAGAAAGCCACGGCUAACUACGUGCCAGCAGCCGCGGUAAUACGUAGGUGGCAAGCGUUGUCCGGAUUUAUUGGGCGUAAAGCGAGCGCAGGCGGUUUUUUAGGUCUGAUGUGAAAGCCUUCGGCUUAACCGGAGAAGUGCAUCGGAAACCGGGAGACUUGAGUGCAGAAGAGGACAGUGGAACUCCAUGUGUAGCGGUGAAAU